rnacentral:lncRNA from 1 species
CGAGGGGUGCGGAAUCCCCCAGCGGGUGAAGCGGGUCGUAGGGGGUUAACUACCCUCCGCCAGGACAAAGCGCAGGGUGCUGUGUAGAGUGCAGUAGUGUAAGGGUAGGGAGGCGGUGCGACAUGCACGUGGCCUGAAGUUGUAACAGGAGCACCAGACUCCGGCAGGUUGCGAUAACUGGUCGUGUCCCACAGCGACAGUGUGGCGUCCUCACCAACGAUAGGUGGAAAAGGGCCCGUAGAGGUGACGCGGUGGGAAUAUAGCAUAUAGGACUGACUAGGUGCAGACCUCAGAGCGUUCCCCCCUUAACACACGCCAGGUUGAGCGGACACCGGUGUAACAAUAAUAAUAAUAUAAUAAACAAACUCUGCCUGUUUGAUAACGUCCUGCUGGGCCAUCACAGCCUGCGGGUACGAGAGCCGAGGGCAGCAGCACGCAGUGUAGCUACUAUGUGCAUUUCGUCUGUGUACGUAGCUCAGAUAGAUCCUGACAGACAGGGGUGUGUAGUUGCUAUGUACGGUGGAAUCACCAUUGUUGGAUCCGACAAUGAUCUCCGGAGAUGAACUUGCUUGGCCUCCACAUGCUGCUGCACAGCAGGCCUACGACUGGGACGCUGGUCCCUGGCUCGUGGAGCCCCGUCAUCAAUUGGAAGCAUGGAUCAACGUUAACGGUGCACCGUUCCGGGACUGGCCGCGCCAUUCCGGAACUGGCUGUACGACUCAUGAGAUGGCUGCAUCCCCGCUAUUUAUAUCGACAAAACGCUUCCAAUCGGUGUCUUCCGACACCACCAUCCGGUUGUGUUUGGUUAGAUUUACUAUAUCGGCUCGCAAGUCCUGCAUUACUUGUACGGCACAAUGUACAUCUUACCCUACACAGCAGAGCUGUAUACUUUGUUCAGGUUUCGGAUUGACCGGAUGGUUCCAUGGGCCUUAUGAUUGCUUGGGCAAGGUGUUGGAACGAGGGUGCCAAAAGCUUUGGUGACGGCAAGAAUGCGCAAAUAUUCUCGUGCAGCUGGUGGGUUUAAUAUGGGUGAAACAACACCACCUAUGCUACCCGCCCCUCCUCCUUUCAUCGCCUCGGUUGUUCUAUAAACUCCAUGACAGACUAGGCGAGGGUUAGUAGCAUACAUCCAUAAGUGUAAGGCUUCUCAUACUAUCGGAAAAACGAAGACAGCUAGCGCGGGCGCGAGAUGCCCUUAUCAUGAUCAAUUAUGUAUGUAUGACAGUGCAUGUGUACGGAAUGUACCUGCGAUAGGUGCACACGCACCAGCUCUUGACCAUACUUUGACUCCAUCAGCACCAGCAUCGGUAGCCUGCCGAGCCCGCCGACCUACGCAUCAAAUUGGCCAUAUCCACAUUUCGGACACGUACAGACUUUUGAAUCGGGCUGAGGCAUGUACGGCCUAAAAGCAGACAUAUGUAUUGAAGGCCAGGGCACAAGAUGCAAUGAAGGCAGGUGGUUCACCCUCACUUCACAAACGAUGGUGACCAACCGUGCCGGGCAACAUGCAGCAGGGUCAACGUUACUUUCGGUGGGUCUGUAAGUUUGGCCAGGUAGUGUCCCACACAUGCGAGUAGGCUCUAGUACGUGCAUACACUGCUUAAGGAGAGCAGCUCGUGUUGCAGCACCCUUUAACGUAAUGCUGUGGCAGGUGCGGUGGCCCAGAUAGAGACAAACGCAAGUGCAUGCUGUUAAGACUGAGCGGGUGCCGGAAGAAGCCCGCAGAUUUCAAUCAGGCCAGCAGAAGGACGAGCGAAGCAGUGGGUUUGGAUCCCGUACAUGUUCAGGCAUAGUGAGGAUCCAGGAUUUCGGGAUGCCCGGGUACCCAGCAGUGUUCGACACCCCGUACGGGGCCCGUAAGUUUUUGGCCUUUUUUCGGUAUCCCCGUACGGGUCCGUAGGACUUUGCGGUGGCUCCCGUAAAGAUUUUGGGGCGCGAAGCGCCCCGUACGGGGCCGCCCCCGGACAGGCCGAAGGCCGGUUACGGUGACUCCCGUAAGGAAUUUAAGGAUUUAUAAGAUGCCUUACGGGGCCCUGUAGGGGAGAGGACGGACCAUAUAAAGGAUAAGGCCCCACACUUGGCAGGCAUAAUUCAUAUUGCAAUAUGUAACUACACUUUUCAUAAUACUUUUAUAGCUUCUGGUCUGUAACAUCCAGCGAGGAUUUUGAUGAGGAGGAGGAGAACGCGAAAGAGGAGCAGAAGGGAUGGGCGGCCGCGGCGGCCAAGGCGCUUGGCUUUCGCUGAGUGUGCCGUGUCCCCGUGUGUAAUGGUUCACGGGAAAAUAACAUAAAUAACAAUUUACAGGGCAAAACAAAUGCAAAGUGUCACUUUCCACAGCGUUUUAGCCAAGGACAGUGUCCCCGUAAAGUUUUUGCGGGGUUACGGGGGCCCCCGUAAGGUUUUCGGCCAGUACAGGAGCCUGGUACGGGGGCCCCUCCGUAAGGAAAAUUUGGGAGGUUCGGGGGAUCCCGCAAGUUUCGGGAAGGUCAGUGUCGAACCCUGGUACCCAGGGUUAUAUGAUGUACCCGGUGGGCGACAUGUCUAACAAAUCUGGGUAAAUUUAAGUACCUCCAUCUCGGACUAAGACGGACUACGUGAACAAUCCCACGGGAUAUGCCAGGGGGCGCCCGAGGACGUUCGCUUGAGGGGCGGAGGACUGUAAGAAGGGAUCAGCUCCCCUUGGCAUUUCCCGCAAGUGCUCUUUGUCUGGUCUUACACAUUCAUGCACGUGCACAUCUCCUUGCCCUUCCCUAACACUCCCACCCUGUCAAUCCAUCCAUUGCCCAGCAUCCCAUCCAACAACGACGCGAUCAUACCAGGAUAAACUGUCCACAAGGACUGAAACAGCAGCAGCUGCUGAGGGGAGUACCUCGGCCACCCUGCAGUCCAAACUUGGUGCUGUAGCACAGCUCCCCUGUCUUGAUGUCCCAACAAUACAGCGCACCAUCUUCACCGCUGGUUGCAGCCGCCUUGCCAGCAGCCUGGCUAAUUGCACACACGUCCAGCUUCGUUGGAGCGCUGGGCGCGAUCAUUACCUUUACUACUGGUGUAUCCCUCGUGAUGUCGUAGAUGACGACACGACCUGACUGUGAGAUGACGAUAGCCCUUGUGCCGUCCUUUGUCGCAGCAGAUCCACAUACCUAAUAUGCACCAGUGUUCAGGUGGUGGGUGUCUGGCAGGACGCAGACAAACAUGAUGGCGGGCAAUCCCCGCUUGCAAGGCAUCACCGGCUACCUAAGAGAACCUCACCUAGAGCUACCUACGCAGUCCUCUUAGGCCCGUGUUCACAGCAGGCCGUCAUGUAGAUAUGCCGUACUAUUCAUGCCGUACUAUAUUAUGUAUGUACAUAGUACGGCAUGCCAUGCUGUCACUUUCGCAGUCCAACCCUAACAACACAUCCUGUACAUGCGGGCGGGCAGACGGACGGACAGACAUGCAAACAGACGGACAGACGACCAGACUGACAUAUGUCACACAACCGCCCAUUGGCCCACAACCGUGCGUGUGCAUGUGUAUUAGCCGCGGGCUCAUGCAACAAAUAAAGCAGCCGCUCGCGCUUAUCUCUUCCAGCUUGGCAGCUGCACCCUCUCAUGUGUCGACCCUACAUACCUGGUUCAAGUAAACCAUGUGUUCUGGUAAGGAUAGCGUCCAGACGAUCUGCAUAUUGGAGGCAUCCCAGGCCUGUACGGCCUCGACAGAACAGGUCAUCAUUAGCAUUGUCCCUUCCAGCGUGUGACUAGUAAACGCAGAUAUGCUGUUGACAGGGUUUCGAUGGAGGGCCUUUUGAUCCUCGCAGAUAGCCUUCCAAUGCCCUUCCUCCUGCGCACAAUUUACAUAAAAGGAUGUAAGCGAAAUAGCAACGCACAAGUACUGCUGCACACUAUGGAGACAUGCCAACCAGCAGAGAAGGUUGUGGCAAGGAAAGAAAUACAUAUCGCACUUAUUUUUGCUGAGCCAUCAGGGAAACUCAGCACGCCUAGCAUCAACACAUAAGCCGGCUCAUUGAAAUCUACCGCAUAGCACUAUAUAGCAGGAAGAAUAAUUUACUGAUGCUACAAGGCAGCAGAUGGAAAGCUACAGCCCGUGCGGAAGCACAUGUGCUGGUAUGGCGAACUCAUCGUCGCAGUGAUCCUACAUCAUUGCCAGGAGAAGCUCUGGGUACAGAAUCACCUUGAAACAUUUCCAUCGUUGAACAGAACCAUCGGCCGUGCAGCUGAAAAAUACAUUGCUGCCUGCUCCUUUGCAUACUGUGAAGUUCGGAUGCCCUAAGCUUACGCUGGGAGGAGGCGCUGGCUGCGAAGCACCGCUAUCGAAUUGGGUAACCGAGUACUUCCAAACGGAGGAACUGCGUCCUAAAUCCCAUAAUGAUAAUUCGUAAUUUUCUCCAGCAAUUAGGAGCACCUCGCCUAGUUCAUCGAGCUUGACCCAAUCGCAGGAUGUUGGUCGGGACUUGGUGACAGGAAUCCGCUUAUGGAAGGGAGUGCUGCCAUAGCUCGAGCUAUCUGAGCUCAGAACCCAGCGACAAGGUAAAGCUUCUUGUGGCAUAUCUGCAGUCAUCCCAGCUGGGAUGACUGCAGAAGAAUCAGCUGAUUGGAAGAAAUCUUCUGACUGGAGUUGCAAAUCUUCUGAUUGUGGCAUGUCUGCGGUCAUCCCAGGAGAAUCAGCCGAUUGGGGCAAUAUUUCCGAAUGGAGUUGCAACUCGAAAGAAGGUAAAGGAUGACUGCAGACAUGCUCUGCAGUCAUCCCAGAAGGAUCAGCCGAUUGGGGCAAUAUUUCCGGUUGGAGUUGCGACAUUGGAGUUAACUCCAACUCUAGAACUGCAGGUGACAUUGAAGGCCGGGUCAUCGAAGACAUCUAUCACGUAAUGGCGCCACACUCUGUCAAGAAAUCUGUUACGAAGUUAAGAAGUUAAUGAUAGUAGGUGUACAUGUUUUAGUCCCAAUCCAUGCGAGGCCAUGUCGAUGUACCCGAAGAAUUCAGCAGGCGGGAGUUUUGUACAUACAUUCUCUAAUUUCAGGAUAUAAGGAUUGUGCUCUACCUUUUGGAACUGAGGGCUCGUGAUUAAUUCAAGUCUACUAUUUUUCAGCGGGAGAGGCGGCUGCGCGUUCCUGCAUGUACUGCAUGAAGUUGCCUAGGAAGGACUUGCAGGAACAUGUGCUCUCCUCGUUACAACAGCCCUUCCAUCAAUAUAUUCUUCAGUUCCAUGGGAUAUGUCCUAAUGACAGCAGUGACUUACCGGCAACCAUUGAAACUGGACUCGCAGUGGUGCCGCCGAAGGGGUGCUAGGCGUCCCUUACUUGGACAAUAUGACCUCAUGCCUGUGCUUCGUCCGUGUGCACGUGUCUGCGUGCGUUCUCCGGCGAGGACAACGUUCGCGCCUACCUUAAGCUUGGAAUGGCGGGCGGUGGAAUGGCGGGCGGUUCACUCUAGUAAGGAAGCAGGGUGGCUCGCAAAAGAUGACUGGAAUGGGAAAUACUACUUCACCCAAUUUGAGACUGUCUCAUUGGAAACAAAUUUUCCCGUCUGCAAGUGGUCCUUCGAUGGGCGUGGGAAUUCCUUAGGUCAAAAUAGAUUGGGCUGCCUCGCUCCGAAACCAUAACGACAGCUGGAUCUUUACAAAGCAUGGGGAUUCCUCGGCCAAUAAAACUUGUCUGCCUACGGCAAGACCUUGGUCAAAACCGGACUGGGCAGUCCGGAUUGAAAAGUUGACCCCGUUCAAAACGACAGACCGAACUCCACAAGACCCCGGUGUUGUCACGUGACUCAAACCUCCCCUAAUAAUGAGAUCCUUGUCUACAUGCACUACAAAUCCAAUGUGACUCGCCGCUUGGCCAACUCUUCCCUGCUCAAACACCCUAUCCAUGCUUUUACAUUUUCCGUGAGGAACGCCUUUUUCUUCGCAUACCGCAUGAAAUAUUAGACAACUGUUACUUGGGCGGAACUCCAUCUUCGAAUGACGUCCACUAAACAGGCGGCUAACAUGGAGUAACCACUCUGUCUGUUAAGGAGUAGUCCCAAGGAGUUUAAUGGAAAAACCCCAGUCGAUAGGGAGUUUAUGAUGUUAGUUUAUCACCUUUUUGCUGCCGGGACUGUGCAUUCCCACUCCAUCCUGUGGUGCAAAGGUACCAAUAUUGCGUCUUCAUCACUUCUUCCGCUCAAUAACCUUCGACAACCUGACAAAAGCCCUCUUCGACUUGUCGCAGCUUCAGACCUCGGGUCGCUUCGGGGCUACGCCCUUCCACGAAGGCCCUGCAGCCCUCCCGCACAGGUUUGCGCUGCUGUAUCUGUCACUCCCGCGGUGCAGUCACAACAAACUCCUGUCCGCCGCGCCGUUCUCUAAUGUCUCUACUCCAGUCGGCAACACCCUAUUCCAGUCCCGCUCCUGCAUCUCCCGCUUACCCCCUAACCGUGACCACAUGACCUUCCCCCCUGUCCCCCAACCCUCCCCUCCAAACCCCCACACGUACCAAACCUACCAGGGCAACGCAGUCGCUACGACCCGCUGCUGUUGCACCCACCAUCAGCCAGCGCCUCCGCAGCAGCUAUGGCUGCAGACGCCGUCUGGUGGCACCAUCUUCAGGGGCCGGUGGAGCUGACUGAGGCGGCGGCGGCGGCGGCGGCACACUUUCCACUGGAGGGGCGGGGUCCGGGGGAAGGGGCGGGGGCCUGGAGGUGAGAAGGGGGGAGGUGGAGGUGCUGUCAGAGGGGGGCGGAGGGGGAGUGAGCUGGUGAUGGUGGUGGUAGCGGUGGUGAGGCGCCGGGGUUGUGUGGGUGAGGUCGCUGCAAGGGAUGGAUGUGAUGCCCUUAUGAUGGAUCUUAAAGGUCACUCAUGACACCACAUAUCUAUUUGAGCUCAUUUUAAUGCCGUGUGCUCAUUCAUGAGGUGCUCCUCGCAGCCCUGGCUGCCCGCCUGGUCUGCCGUACUUCCGUACGGACAUACGUGCCCUGGGCAGGGUGAUGAUCUCAUGCUGUACUGCGACACCACAUCAUCACAGGUCAUGCCCUCUCGCCGUCCGAUCAGGUCGUAUGAUUACCUAUCGUACAUGUCGUACCAUUUGUAGUAAGCUUUGCAUGAGGGUCUGGUGUUCUACUUUCGCCUUUGUGCGCAGGUUUGAGGACGCAGUUCUGUCUGUAGGGUUUGCCUGUAAAGGAACACACAGUUCGGCCGGUACAUACAUACAGAGGUUAAGGCCUGACUUCUGCUCCCAGUCGACCCAGUCGACCCGGGUUCAAAUCCGCCUGCCGGCUCCUCGGGUGUUUGAGGAGUGAUGAAAUGGGAGGUGGCCCCCCAUCUUAUGGACGGUGUAGGACGUGAUAAUAUCAACUUGCGAGCUGACCAGGAACUAAGUUGAUGCGCCGUUGAUCCGCUAGAUUUGGUUGGAUGCUGGUGGUGAGUUGCUGAACCCAACGAAUACGCUCUGAAGUCGGAUGGGGUGACGGAUUAGGGUGCCCCUCUAGCAGGGGAGAGCAGGGACUGCCCCGGGAAAGGGGGCCGCUGGCGAAGUUAACCACCCUGUAACAACAUACAGACACAGGCAGGCGGCUGGCAGAAGUUAAGGCCUGACUUCUGCUCCCUGUCGAUCCAGUCGACCCGGGUUCAAAUCCGCCUGCCAGCUCCUCGGGUGUUUGAGGAGUGAUGAAAUGGGAGGUGGCCCCCCAUCACAUGGACGGUGUAGGACGUGAUAAUAUCAACUUGCGAGCUGACCAGGAACUAAGUUGAUGCACCGUUGAUCCGCUAGAUUUGGUUGGAUGCUGGUGGUGAGUUGCCGAACCCAACGAAUACAUUCUGAAGUCGGAUGGGGUGACGGAUUAGGGUGCCCCUCUAGCAGGGGAGAGCAGGGACUGCCCCGGGAAAGGGGGCCGCUGGCGAAGUUAAUCACCCUGUAACAACAUACAGACACACAUCACGCUGCCAUCGCUUUGUGCAGCUCAGUCUCCUUUCCAGAACACCCACCCCACACGAUACGGUGUUCCCACCGACCCCCUCCCCCUCUUCCUCCUCUCCAUUUUUGCGUUGGCGAAACUGACAAUGGUGCAGACAGUCGAUUUUCAUUUUUUUGGUUUUGAAUUCCUCUCUCGAUCUAUCCAUCCAUCCCUUUCUCCCCCCUUUCCUUCCCCCUCACCUUCCACUCUCGCCCUUCCACAGGUCGUCCUGCAGCUGCCCUCCCCCGCCGCCUCCACCCCUCUUUCCCCGUGUCCCUCCGUGGGUCCUCCAUUGGGCGCUGGACGAGUGGUGCCCACCCCCCCUGGACUGCUGGUACCCGGGGACUGUACGUGUGGCGGGGGGAGGGGGAGAUGACGGACCGUGUCAAACACACUUCCCACCGGAUGGGCGAUUGGAGAUCAGCUUCCCAGCGGUAUGAGGGACAGUAGUGUGCCUGCGUGUGUGCGUGUGUGUAUGUGCGCGUGUGUGUAUAUGGCGGGGAGAGCGAGCGAGGGAAACUCGGGGUUGGUCGGGGGGGGAGGGAACGGAUGAACCGGACAUGGAGGGGAUGGGUGGGUGGGGUAGGGGCGGUAGUUGGGGGUCGUUAAAGGGAGGCUAGGGUUGUUAACCUCCCACCGGCUGCGGAACCGCAACGAUGGAAACAAGAGACCAACCCCAGGGCCCCUGGACGUCAUGCAGCGCGGAGGACAUACACACCCACACGCACCACCCGACCACAAGUGCCACAAGUGCCAAGACAAACCGUGACGCCAAGCUAGCCGCGCCNNNNNNNNNNNNNNNNNNNNNNNNNNNNNNNNNNNNNNNNNNNNNNNNNNNNNNNNNNNNNNNNNNNNNNNNNNNNNNNNNNNNNNNNNNNNNNNNNNNNNNNNNNNNNNNNNNNNNNNNNNNNNNNNNNNNNNNNNNNNNNNNNNNNNNNNNNNNNNNNNNNNNNNNNNNNNNNNNNNNNNNNNNNNNNNNNNNNNNNNNNNNNNNNNNNNNNNNNNNNNNNNNNNNNNNNNNNNNNNNNNNNNNCUCCACAACGAAACAUGUUGCCCAUGGUGCCCAACAAGUACGGUUUCGUACAGAACUGGCGGAAGGGAACGACACCGCACACGCCAGUCUUCACCGGCCACCUGAAGGACGUCACGUGGUGAGGAGGGAGGGGCUGUGGAGGGAGAGCAAGACGGGGAAAUCCCAGGUGAGGACUGGGGGGGGAGGCGGCGGCAACCUCUUAAAGGCUUUCCCUGGCUAGCCAUGAAACUCACAUAUAUAAAACAUUUAAUAGCUCUGCAGCCACGUAAAUAUGGUGUAACGUCUUACCUGGCGCCCCUUCUGAAUGCGAAUGCACUAAUUUGACAAUUAAUGCAUACUUCCCAUGCGGUCGUACACCAUACUACCGUACUUCCGUACCUGUCUUGCGCGUAAUCGUAUCCGCUUGCAGCGCGGGCCCAUGGAUUUCGUGUGGAGGAAAUGACGUAAUAGGAGUUCCACAUGGCGUCGUGGGUAAGUCCACGCGCCUCCAUCUCCUCCCCCGAGUAUGGCUUCAUACACAUGACUUUCUGGGAUUUGCACGCGGUCUUGAACGUGUCUAACACGGUCGUCGAGGCUGCUUUGCGGUUGCGGAUGAAGAUCAGCUUGUAGUCGUGGUUGACAAAGACGCCGCAUCUGUAGGACAUGGGCGCUGGCACCGUGACGUUCUCCCGGUAAACCACCUUGAGUAGUAGCCAGUCACGGAAGGCGCUCUGGUUAAAAAGCUUCUCGUCAUAGCGUUCCGCGGGCAGAGGACCAGACUUCUUAACCUCGCCAUAAACUUUGCUGGACACAGUGAUGAGGUCGCUGUAGUAGUCCGAUGGCGAUUGCGGCAGGUCUAUCGGCGGAAGGCCUUUUGCUGCGCUUAUAGUUGUAAGGAAUGCGCUGAUGAUGGAGAGCAGCUGCCAGAGGGAGCCGUGCCACAUGAAAGCUGCAGAGACAGCCUGCCGGCGAGACGAAUCGCGCGCGCCCUUUCCCACGUAAGGAGCCCUUGCGCCGGGGUCGGCCCCGGUGCCAGGACUGGCCAUGAGAAGCGUGUAAGGAAGACUUAAGGAAAAUGAACCUGCCCCUGCUGUUUCGUGCACUGACUGUGCUACAGCAGCCCUCCGAAUCGCUGGAGCCCUUAGAUGAUACACCAGACUCGUAGUUUAUGCAAGGCAAAGAUAACGUAAUGAAAUACGAUAGCAAAGCUCUAAGGGAAUCCUUCUAAGGGCUGCUUGCGGACAAAAUCCUUGGACCCGAAAAGCGGUAUGCACGUUACAGCCUGGGCUAACCUAGAUCCGCUAAAUCCGUUCUGAGUCAAGUUGCCUUUUCUUGUGAUCAGGUUGGACAUGCCAAACGUGUUUGAAGUAAGCGCAAUUCUGGGGCUCCACAGCGCAAUUCGAAUACCUCGGGCGAGCCUGCCAGAAUAAUUCAAGACCCCGGCGGACCAAUUCUUUUGUCAGGAAUAGAAUCCAGGCCUACUCCUACCUGGCCGGACGGUCUACAACGCCCUCAACGCUAUAUCCUGCACGAUCCGCUUUCCUUAUCCUUAUACCAGCUGGUCAUCUUGUAGGAUGUGGCUUCAUUCUCAUCAGGCUCAGUCGCUCCCGGCAGAUCCUGGUUAAGGAAACUGUCGACCUGUCAGAGCCUAUUAUAUAUAUUAUAUACUCAGGGUCGCGACCCCCCGACCUGACCCCGUGAUGUCUCCUCACCGAAUUUAAAAACUCAAGAAAGGCGCGUGGCGAAACCUUACCUGACCCCCCACACACACUUGCCGAUAGAGAGCAUCGGCUGAUCACAGACGGAGACAAGGAAAUAAAUAUUAUAUUACAUUUUACACCAAUUCAAAUCCCGGAACUGAAAAGCUGAAACGCUCCCCCAGGUGUGUACGGCAGACCCUACUCCAGGCAUCAUUGUUGGUACAGAAGAGAUCAAUACAAUAAAAAGAGACAACCCCGUGAAAAACCGAAGAAUUGACAGCGCACUGACAAAGUAAAUAGACACGUCGAACCGUCGGAGCUAACUUGUGUGCGUAAUACAGAAGGUCGGAACACAAUCCCCCCUCGAUCCCCACCGCCAACCGACCUCAAACCUACUGCCAAUAACAUUCCAUCACAUGACAUGAUCUAACACACCAAUGCCAUCCACAAACCGGCCAACAUGCCAGGGUCCCAUACCCCCGGCAGUGCCGCCGUUCGCCCGACCAGGUCCAUCCCAUCUUCAAGGCUAGCGAAAUGCAGACCUCCUCCGCAUCUACACCUAGGAACCGCGAGGAGGAGGAUGGGAAACACCAUCAUAAGUUAAACAACAUGAGGUUUCUUUAUGACGACAUGGCCCAACUCCGUCAUGCCAUGAAAGUUCUUGUGACAGUAAAAGCACACAGCGAUUACAUAGUAUUCAUCCCCACCACCAAUCACCACCGUACACGCAGUUCAGCCUUCCUAUUCCCGUACAACCAUGGACGAGCAAAGCUACAAAAAAACUAAAACCUAGCACUGCAAUAACCUACUUUACCGUUAAGAACACAACAAGACUUUACCCCAAGGAGCUCGUGACUCGGAAGGACAGCACACAAGAAACCUCCCACCACUGGCCACUGUAACAACCACACACACAGGCCACGACAGCCACAUGACAGGACACGACACGACACGACACAACACUAACACGACGUGCAAUGCACACGCUCGCUCCUCAUUAAGUAUAAGGAUAAAAAGUAUAGGACAAUUUCCCGAAUAACAACAAUAAAACACCGCGCCGCAGAGAAAACGUGCCCUAGGACUCAUCCUCUUCCCUCCCCCUUUUCCUUCCCCACCUCCCGAAAAGGGAGAGCGUGCGGGAGGAGACGUCAGCGCGCACGGAUCAACGGACAAGUGGGCACACAUGAUGUAUACAAGCACCACGCAGGGUGGUGGGGUAUGCAGUACUAGGCCCCCUUGCUCUCCCGCUGAAACCCCCCGGACGGCAAUGCGUCCUCAUCUCCACCUCAUCUGACUCGCGCGUGCGCCAACUUUACGUUCAACCGUUUACGAGCUCGCCCAAGCCGAUGUUUGUGUCUCGCCGCGGCAGCCUCAGGUCCAGAGCCACCCAAUCAAGACGCCGGGUCGUGUACACAUGCAUGUCAUAACGGUACGGACGGUGUCGCGACCAUGGGGCCUCUUAGUGGUACAUGAUGUUUGUCUCUUUUCCGAAAACAGUGGUGUACGACACGGGCUCAGACGUCCAGCCCUGCCAGCCGCGUUCAGAGCCCCCAGCAGUUCACAAAACACCGCUGCACUGCCAGUGCCGUAACCCAAGACACGUUAAACACGUACACACAUACAUGCCGGUCAGAAAACACCUUGGGCAGGAAAUCGACACCGCUGCUGCAAACAAAGCCAAACACAAGACCUAAAGCGCGACUUGACCAGACAUAAGGUACGCCAUAGUCAUAGGAAUCGGAAUCAGAAGACAAGGCAAAAGAGAAAUGAGAAGGCAAAAGAGAUGGCAAAAAGUGAAGCUCGCAACUAAAACUCCGCCUCCCUCCGCCAGCUGACCAGCUCAUCCCCAAGGCGCGUCCUUUGCCCGCUCGUCAACCCCUCCGCCUCAACCUUGACCCACCCGGCCGAGACAUCGCUGUCAGGUAAUACAGUUUGCCUCCCAACCACCAACCGACCGACAUGGGCGCAACUGUUCGUGAACUGUGGUUUGACGGGACGAGUCUGUUAUGGCUGCCCCUACCCACCCACACAGCAUGGAGAGCCAGAGCACGACCAAAAGAUCGCGCGCCCAAUAUCCCCCCUUCCUUCCCAAGCACUUUCAGACAGACCUCUCAUCUCAGACGGUCUUCAAACAGCAAUUAUCACCACACGCUUCAAUGUGAAACAUCGCGCCGGCUGAGGAACCACGGACAUGGAAACAAAGAGACCAACAAGUCCCUGGAUGACAUGCACACCCACACGCACCACCCGGCCACAAGUGCCAAGACAAACCGUUAACGCCAAGCUAAGCCGCGCCAGGUCAGCUGCGCCGCGCCGCGCUGCGUUGCGCUCGCACUAUGCACCUCGACGCACGUGUGCUCCCAGAUGCCGUGUUCAAUACGCCAAGACAUUCAGUAGAUCAGAAGACCAUUUCUCAAUACCAUGCGUGGUCAUACACACUGCGCCCGACACGGGGAUCCCAUGUACGAACGACCAAAUUAUACAUACGACAACAAAAACACACACGCUUUCAAGAGGAGGACAUAUAAACGCACUUUCGGCCACGACCCGCAGUUGAGGCCAAAACUCAGCCGGGGGAGCCCAUCCUCCUGCAAAUGCACCGACGACACGCGAAACACACACACGCGCUCCGUGAUCGACCAUCCGGGGACUCCCUGCAUUACCCCCGGGGGGAUGAUCUUCCCCCCGGCCCGCCCCUUUCCUCGGGAGGAUCCAACUCCCUUGUUGCCCGCGCGGUUUCCUAAAGAGGCACGACCUGCAUUCUUCACCUUGUUAUCUUCUUCGUCAAAAGUCAAGUCAAGUCAAGCCCCAGGGAAUUAGGCCGCGGGCCAGCGGGGCCUGGAGGACACCCCCAAAAUUUCUCAAACGCCCACGUCAGAAAUGCUUCUGCACGAGGUAGGUCUCUCGCCCAAAGCCAAAUGGCAAGGGCCCCCCGUCGCCUCCAACCUCCUAUACACCCCAUACUUAAAGUGGGCAUGGGAAAGGAGGGGGGAGAGGCACUGCGCCUUGGUGGUGUGCCGCCAGUCGCUGAGGCAGGUAGGUGCUGGUCUGAGUAGCAAAACAGCCAUAUCCAUGUACAGUCACCAAUCCAUGCCCACCAGGGGAGCCACCACAGACACCACUGCAAAUGGACCGUGCUGGAUGUCCGUUGCCCGUGUCCGGCAGGACCUUUCUGCUGCUGACUUGGCGGCCCCAUCCACAGCCAAGGGGGGACAACCAACAGCCAAGGAGGGCAGCGGGCAACAGAGCCGGAGCCCCAGGAGACCUCUACCACCACCACCACCAUCACCACCAUCGCGCACACUUUCGUCAAAGACCCGAAUCCAAAUGCUCUUUCCUGAAGGGUUGCACCGGGAGAGAAGUCCACAAUGUGGUCACCGCACAGCACAGCACGGCACAGCGCAAAGUGCAAGUGUGGUGCAGCAGAGUGAGCUAUGUGACACACCACAACUGCAGAAAACACACAAGUUAGUUAUCCACAAUAAAGAACCACACUCCCAAACCCAAGGGGCCCCAACGCUCGCAAGGACAUCCACGAAACGACAACACAACAGAGGCGAUCUACUGCGGCAAGGUCCCUCAACGGGGCGCAACAGUGGACCUUGACGCUCCUAUACAAUCAAGACGGAUGAUGAUGAGACGAAACGACGCAACGGAGGAUGGCACCCCUCCUUUACCACCACAUCGACAGCGACAUCAGCUGACGCGAUGGCGGGUCCCCCCUUCGAUCCACCUGCAGCUAAUCCCCCAAAAGCGCACAUACACACACAUAGACAUACACGCACAGAACACAUACCGCGCGCGAGGAGUAGCCACCCCGGUACCCCCCUACCUCCACCAGCAUUUCCCUUGCCCCACAUCGACUCGACCCAUCCGAUCUGACCCACACCUCGUCAUGCGUCACCAUAUACAUCGCGACAAAUUCACUUCAUACACUGGGCAUGCAGUUGCGCGCCUUGGACUUCUGCCACCGCUCACGCACCUGGUAGGUACAUGGCCCAUGCGGCGGGCGGGCGGGCGGGGGGACUCCGGCGAGAACGGCCCCUUAGUGUACAUCCCUCCCUCAUUACCUCUUCGCACCGGUGGAGGGAGAGAGAAUACUUACAGUGCCCCACCAGUGCCCAAACCAGGAUCAAACCCAACUCAAACCCAACACCAGCUAUGGGCCGUGCUAUGCGGUCGUGUAAUGCGGUCGUGCGCACCUGCACCCCGCCCUGUUUCCCACCCAACCCCCAAUAAUCCAAAAUGGAAAAGGGGGAACGUCAAACACGUGAGAUCACGAUGAUACGUCAUGAACCCAUAUGCACCAUGUACCAUGUUGCUGCCUCUUGACGUUUCUUGUGUAAGUAAAAGCUCAACUAAAACACAACUAAAAACCAAAACCAAAAUUCAAACUCGUCUGCUUGCAGCAGCGCAGAUAGUCAGAGCGUCUCGAGGAGCGCCAGAGCAACCCUCUCCUCAAGUUUCUUCCUGAGUGGUGGCGCGUCCGGGGGACAAUCCUUCCACCACUCAAAAAGCCACGCCGCGAGAGAGACACAAACAUACAUACAUGCAUACGUACAUAACACAUGUAUCAAUUAACAACCCGGUAAGCACCUAGCAUGCAGAUCAAUCUUGCCAACGGUUCUUUAGUUUCAAUCGAACCGAACCGCACCAACGGGUAUUUCAUCCCCAAUCCCAAAAUCCAAAUCGAUCUGGGUCAACAUGCUCUUAGCCAGCAGCGCACAUCGGCAGAGCACACAAUCCCGACAAUUUUCACAGCAGCUCACAACUGACUGACGUCGGCCCCCCUGAAAAGAAACAAUCCCGACAACGUAACCCAGAUCUGGGUCACCAACCAUCCACAGCUCCAACGGAUCUGAAUGGAUCCACACCAUGCCGUGGUGUAUCCCUGCCGACCUGCUGGAUCCAAAUUGGAUCUCAAUUCCAGUCGUACAGCGUCACGACCACGGUAAUGUCGUCCAUAGACCCCCUGUCCCGAGCCAGUUUGACAAGCUCCUGCGCAGAGGCCUUGGCGGCGGCAGCAUGCUGCGUAUUGAAGGAAGUCAUGCCCGUAAACUGCGGUGGCGGAUACAAAUUGUACGAAAAAUUGUAGUACGACAAAUUUAGGAACGGGGAGUCAUAUUUAAAGCGCGGGGGAGAGGGAAGAGUGGAAAGAGGGGCGGCCCAACAUAUAAGCGCACGUUCCAGAGAAAUAUGGCAACAUGCAACAUGUAAGAUACGAAAAGAGAGAGCUCCCGCCGCCCAGUGAACAGGGGCAGCAACCAAGUAUGUGUGGACGACCCACAAACUGUUUACGUACGCCAAAAGAAUCUAGGAUUUGCCCAUUGCCCUUUUUCCCACACCCUUCGCCCUCCCCCACGGCCCAACCACCCUCUCACCUUGUCAAUCACCUCCGUCGCCAGGUCCACCGCCUCCUGAUCUCCCACCACGCCCCACAGCCCGUCGCUGGCGUGAAUGGCGAACGUGUCCAGCUGUGGCGCCAGCACCAGCGCUGCCACAUCAGGCUGGGAAGAGAUGAGCGAGGCGGCCUUGAAGUCCCGGUCGCCAAAACCCCUGGGCCAAAGCCACGAGAAACGACGGGGACAGACACGCAAAUGACAGAUCACCAGGCUCGCGAGUGAGGAGGAGUUACUCUCCCUUACAAAACGCACCCGUUGGGUUUUCCCCCAAACUCACCUCUGUCACCCAACGGUGGUGACAUUUAGCUGUGUGUCGAGUUCUUACCAAUGUACGGUGUACGGCGUACGGACCACGCCCAGUUUUCUCAAGUCCAUGUAGCGGCCAAAACACAUCCAUCCACCCACGUGCACAACGGGGGAGUGGGAGGGCCACCACCGACAGCUGUAGCAACCCCUCCCCCCCCCCUCCCCCUCAUUUCCAGCUCCAUCGGGCACCAAGUUUGUUAACCCCCACCCCAAUCCCCUCCUCACUUCACCCCAGCAUCUCACCAGCCCCUACCAGUCCCUCCAUGUCUACUCCCACCUACCACACCUCCGCUUCCCCUCGGUCUCUUUCCUUGGCAGCAGCUUCACUCACUCGUGGUUCGUCUCCCCCCUUUUUCCUAAUAGUAUCUUAAUAAUAGUAGUAUUAUCUUUUCGUCAAUCGUCUGUGUUUCGUUGUAUCCUUCCCCCCUCCUUUCCCCCCUUCCAAGGGCCGCACCUGGACACGGAGCAGACCUUGGCUGUGCAACCAUCCGCCAGCGGCAGCACCACCCGCCACGUCCCCCGCACGUUGGCCACCCGCCCCCCCGCCGCCUCGAUGCGGGUGCGCUCCUCUGGCAGCUCCGGCUUGUGGUCGCGGGACAGUCUCACCGCCCGGCCGCCGCGACACAGCACCGCCCGGCAGUCCCCCGCGUUGGCGGUGUAGAGCUUGGGGCCCACCUGGACGCUCACCAGCGCAGUGGUGCCGUCGUGCUGAGGGAGCACACACACACAGACACGGCAUUGAGAUGUCGGAAGGUGGGGAGGGGUCGGAGGACACCAGGGGGCCAGGGGGGGAGGCAUAGGCCGCAUAUGCCGCACCCCGCGUGUAGGGGUAAUGGGAGCCCCCUCCCCAAAGCAUCGAUCGCAUUGCGGAUUUCAACCAAACUGGCAAUAUGCCUGAUUGCGCACAUGCGGGGCGGGAAGGAAGCCCACCGCUAACUUGACGUCCGCAAGGGGGAGGCGGGGGGGGCGAGGGAAAGCGCUUUCAUGCGCCCCCUUUUCCUCCCCUUCCGCCCUCCUCCUCUUAGUAUUACUUCUUCUCCGCCCCCUUGGGACACACAGUUCCCUUCCCGACCUCCCCCCCCUUCCCGACCUCCCGCCCCUUCCCGACCUCCCGCCCCUUCCCGACCUCCCGCCCCUUCCCGACCUCCUGCCCCUUCCCGACCGCCCGCCCCUUCCCGACCUCCCGCCCCUUCCCGACCUCCCGCCCCUUCCCGACCUCCCGCCCCUUCCCGCCCCUUCCCGACCUCCCGCCCCUUCCCGACCUCCCGCCCCUUCCCGACCUCCCGCCCCUUCCCGACCUCCCGCCCCUUCCCGACCUCCCGCCCCUUCCCGACCUCCCGCCCCUUCCCGACCUCCCGCCCCUUGAUACAGCGGUCCUCGGGUCCUUCCCGCGUUCCUCUUCCUACUCACCGGCAGCCCCCGCGCUUCCCCCUCCGCGCAAAUCCGGGAGUCCAGCUCUCGAAAGGAGCGGCGGAAGGCGCUGGUGGCCACCGCCAGCACCUCGGGGCUCACACCCGGCAUCUCCAUGUUGCGAGCUGGGACGGAAGGAAUUAGGAUGAGGCCGCCAGAUGGCAACAAAUGACAAACAUAACGACAAAAGUAAUGGGCGCCACAUCAUCUAAUUAAAUUCUUGUGUAAGUUCGAGGGCGGCAUCGCGAUGACGGACCCAUAACAACCCGUGGGAUUCAGGAAAAUUAAGGUCGAUAUAUUCCGAAAGGCUGGUACAUCAAACACCCAGAUCGCCCGCCGUGGUCCUCUCGUCAAGCUUGAUAAAUCGUGAUGUCUUUCAUCAUGAUACUGAAGGUAACAAGUGGCUUCCGUUAUCACGAUGAAAGACAUCACGAUUUACAUCAUAAGGGGGCUGCGGGUUUCCUUCAGUUUCGUGGCUUUUACGUUCUUGGUGGUUCUUUCCCCCCAGGCUCACAUGCUCCAUGGUUGUCAUUAUGUAUACCCCAACCAGCCAGCCAGCCAGGUGGAAGGGCCAUGUAGAUUGAAUCCCUUGAAUCCCGCCCUGCAUGCCGCCGCCUGUGUGUAGAAUGAUGCCCUUCCCUUCCCUUCCCUUCCCGAGCCACCUCCGCAGGCCCCCCCUGUAGGUGUUCUCUUUUUCCUCCAAGGAAAUUCUUCCCAGUCAGAAGUAAGUUUCGUAACCCCCACGUACGUACCAAAGCAGUCCAGGAGAUCUGGGUCAGACGCCACAGCCGCAAGCACGCUCUCCUGCGCGGUGCGCGCCGCGUGGUCGCCGGAGCCGUGGCCGUCAAAGACCGCGGUGAGGCAAAACGGCGCGCCGCUGUGGUGGGAAAACGCGGGACCCCGGGUCGCUCGCCAAGCGGGCGGGCUGAGAGACCACAGCGCUCCGAGCGCGUCGCUGACGGCGACGAAGUAGUCUUGCAUGGUCUGCUUGACUGGGCCCUUGGACUUUGGGUCCAGUUUCGGGUUGGGUCCCAGAACAGCGCCAGCAGCAGCAGCAGGACAUGCAGGGGUGGGAGGGCAAAAUCGGCCGCGGAGGAGAUGGCGACGGGCAGGGGUGCGGGUUGGCAAAGGGAAUUCUGCACACGGGUUGUGUGGAGGCCGUGCAUGGAGGGCUGUCCUCAGGUCGGGAGGUUAGGGUGGUCAAACUUUGGUGUUUGGAUAGAGAUGAUGGCCCGAUGCUAGGCGAAGGAAGCUCUUGACUUUCGGUCAAAGGGCUUUCAGUUCCUUCUUUUGAAGUCUGGAAGAUCCUGUUGAGCUGUCUGGUGCGAGCAGUUUUUGUCCCGCGGCCCGCGCAGUUCCCCUAAAACCCCAGUGACCCUUGCAAGCAACAAAACUGAAUUAAAACGCGUUCAACUAUCGUUAUAAGGCAUUAGUAUAGUACAGAGUCUGUCAGGGGACUCCUACGUACCGUGGCAAAGCCCUGCGAUAUGGCCGAGGGUGAAAUGCCCCCUCCGGGAAGCCAUUCUUCAGGGCAAGGUUCUUCCGUAGGCAGCUCAAUUGAGGUUUCCUCCCAGCUUGUUACCAGUAAAAGGUCACAGGGAAUUAUUGGUGAUGAGCCGAAGCGAUUCUUCAUGGUCCCCAAAAGCCCCCCUUGCAAAUCCUGUUGGCGCGCAAAGCGCGAGCAGGUACGGAGUUGUGGGCCUCGUGGCAUAGUGGCAUAGAACACCGACGGAUACAAUAACUAGCAAGUUACAAGAUGCGCAGUAGGCAGCAGUUCCGCAAUCGAGAAUCAUACAGCGAGCCAACUCGCCUCACGACUGCGUGGCAGCGGCUGCAUCCCUGAAAUCCUGCCAUUUGCUGGAAUUGUUGCAUAUGCAGACGUGCUUACGACUCCGGCCAACGGACUUGUCCCUGUGCAAAUAGAAGGUUGAGCGAGGGCGUGUACCGGACUUGCCCAGGCCGCCCUUACUUACCCCUUCCCCGCCGGUGCGGUGCACGAUGCAAUUGAGCGGGGCUCAGCUGUAGAGUCAACGCGUGCAUAGGGGUUCCAGCUACGGCUAAUGGCGUCAUGUUGACAGUUACGUCGCUGCCACGUUGUGUAGUAGCCGAAUUAGAAGACACACUGCUUAGUGGUUCAAGAUUUGCUUGGACGACAGAGUUAAAAUUGGUUGUUUAAUAUUGUGCACAACCCAUUAAGAGAGCAAAGGGACCAGCCAGAGCUCCAGAGCUUUGGGGUAGGCCACAUAUGUUAACCUAAACCCCUGCGCAAUCGUAAUUAUGUGCUACGUAGCGUAUGGCUCAGGCACUUGGACGGAAAAAGUCAUCAGCGAAAUCAAGGCUGUACGGUUGCUCGUCCCUAGACGACCGACAGAUGCACAAGUGCGUCGCAUCACAGCUGCGGUUACAAACGAUUGGAGGCUAGAUCAGGUCCGUAGUUAGCACAAAGCCUUGGCCCCUAAACGAAACAAUCGCUUCGAACCCAUUCGCUUUGUGUUACGAAAACCUUUGGAUGCAAGUAUUAUUGCAAACCGAAGCGUGCUAAGCUGUGUAAAGCCCGAGGAAAGAUUCCCCGGCUUCAGUAGUAUGGAGCGGCAGCCUUCCGCGGAGGUGAAGUGGAUUAUUGCUCCGAGCGAUGGGGUUGGACCAGCGCUUCUGCUGACAAUCCGCAAUGGUAAACGUCAUACAACACCAAACCAAGUGAGACUACCGUCAUAAGCUAGCGUAAUAAUUUCAUCCGGUGUCUAGGCUAUUCGUAGCCAACGAAACACUGGCGGCGAGCGCGCGCCGACGGGCGUCAUGGUUACCGGAACGCUAGUUCCUUUCGCAUGUAUGAACCUGCACCUAACAAAGACUUACGUCCCUGAAACAUAUUUAAUAUGCGUAAUAUUGGCCCCGGGUAAGAACAUCCCAAGGGAAGGCGGCCUGGAUAACUCUUGUCAUUGAAAAGUACCUUCCGACCACCCCAUAAGCGCCGACAUCCCUCCCCCUUGAUGUGUCGAAAUUCCCCCGUACACACCCAGUACUUAAUUAACGCGCCAGAAGGAUUUGCUCGACUGGUUUUGGAGCACCGAUGCCGGCCCGGCCCGGGCCUUCGAGCGCUUUUCCUCACCGACUUGUCCCAGGCAGCGCAGGUACGACAAGAAGUCACACUACCAGCUAAUUAACACAGAAAUCCUGCAUGUGUAUGUAUGUAUGUAUGUGUGCGACAGACACACACCCCAUGAGAGAGCCGCUUGAGGAGGGGAGGGGAUGACAGCAGUAUAUAGUAGCAGGCUCCUCUCUCUUCCCUUCUCUCCGUCUAUGCGUGGAGUGGGAGUCUUUCUAUCCCCGGUAUCAACAUCACUCGCCUGUGUUCCAUCUCCAUCUUUAAACACCCCCCCGCCCCUCAGGGGUGGCGGUUGCGGUGGUUGUGAUCGGGGGUUAAGACGAACCACUGACGUUUGAAGCAGAUACCAGAACAGACGGAUAAUGGGGGGGAAGAUGGGGUGGGAAAGCACACACACACACACACACCGUCACGUUCUCACAGACAUCUAUUUGGUUUUAGUCCUUCCCCGGCGCCUCACACCUGUAUCGCCUGGUGCACCCCAACCACACACACCCCCUCGUCUCCUCGCGCCCUCACACACACACACAAACACACACACACAAACACACACACACAAACACACACACACAAACACACACACACAAACACACACAAACACACACACACAAACACACACACACAAACACACACAAACACACACACACAAACACACACAAACACACACACACAUGUACACAGGGGGAACUCU